AGUUUGAACUUGGCUCAGGAUGAACGCUAGCUACAGGCUUAACACAUGCAAGUCGAGGGGAAACGAUAGAGAAAGCUUGCUUUUUCUAGGCGUCGACCGGCGCACGGGUGAGUAACGCGUAUCCAACCUGCCCAUCACUUGGGGAUAACCUUGCGAAAGUAAGACUAAUACCCAAUGAUAUCUCAAGAAGACAUCUGAAUGAGAUUAAAGAUUUAUCGGUGAUGGAUGGGGAUGCGUCUGAUUAGCUUGUUGGCGGGGUAACGGCCCACCAAGGCUACGAUCAGUAGGGGUUCUGAGAGGAAGGUCCCCCACAUUGGAACUGAGACACGGUCCAAACUCCUACGGGAGGCAGCAGUGAGGAAUAUUGGUCAAUGGGCGAGAGCCUGAACCAGCCAAGUAGCGUGCAGGAUGACGGCCCUAUGGGUUGUAAACUGCUUUUAUAAGGGAAUAAAGUGAGCCUCGUGAGGCUUUUUGCAUGUACCUUAUGAAUAAGGACCGGCUAAUUCCGUGCCAGCAGCCGCGGUAAUACGGAAGGUCCGGGCGUUAUCCGGAUUUAUUGGGUUUAAAGGGAGCGUAGGCCGGAGAUUAAGCGUGUUGUGAAAUGUAGAUGCUCAACAUCUGCACUGCAGCGCGAACUGGUUUCCUUGAGUACGCACAAAGUGGGCGGAAUUCGUGGUGUAGCGGUGAAAUGCUUAGAUAUCACGAAGAACUCCGAUUGCGAAGGCAGCUCACUGGAGCGCAACUGACGCUGAAGCUCGAAAGUGCGGGUAUCGAACAGGAUUAGAUACCCUGGUAGUCCGCACGGUAAACGAUGGAUGCCCGCUGUUGGUCUGAAUAGGUCAGCGGCCAAGCGAAAGCAUUAAGCAUCCCACCUGGGGAGUACGCCGGCAACGGUGAAACUCAAAGGAAUUGACGGAAGGGCUUAAG
rnacentral:rRNA from 1 species